rnacentral:lncRNA from 1 species
GUGGUUUUCCGAUCGUUCAUUUGUCUAACGUUUGAUUUUGUGUCUUUUCUUAUUCGGUCAUUUUGUAAUGUAAGCUACACACUUUUUAGCUUUCAAAAUAUUUAAUCUUGAAAUCAUGAUUAUGGUUAUCUCAGAAACAAUUGUAGAGUAUUAUAUUAUAUCGUAUUGUUUGUAUUUUCCGUUUUUAUAUAAGUCUCCUCUUAUCAAAUUAUUAAUUUUUU